CUGCGGAGGAUCAUUAUUGAAUAACUUGAACAGGCUGUUGCUGGUCUUUUGUGUAGACAUGUGCACGCUUGUCUCAUCUUUAUCAUUUCUCCAACUGUGCACAUUUUGUAGACCCUGGAGUCUUUUUGGAUUUUGUUCUCAGAGAUCAGGACUGCUGUGCUUCUUGUUUUGAGGUCGGCUUUCCUUGCAUCUCCAGGUCUAUGUUAUUUUUCAUAAUCUCUCAAAUGUUCAGAAUGGUUGGAUACAGGUGCUUUUGUACCUAUAAAAGUUAUAAUACAACUUUCAGCAACGGAUCUCUUGGCUCUCGCAUCGAUGAAGAACGCAGCGAAAUGCGAUAAGUAAUGUGAAUUGCAGAAUUCAGUGAAUCAUCGAAUCUUUGAACGCAUCUUGCGCUCCUUGGUAUUCCGAGGAGCAUGCCUGUUUGAGUGUCAUUCAACUUCUCAACCACAUGCCUAAUGUGGCUUGGACAUGGGGGGAUUAUUUUUUGCAGGCUUCAAAAAGAGGUCGGCUCCCCUGAAAUGCAUUAGUGGUAUCUGUGCCUUACUACUACUGGGUGUGAUAAAUUAUCUAUGCCCUUUGGUAUGCUGCAUGAACCAGAUUGCGCUGCUUCCAAAGAAAAAGUAACCUUGAUGAAUUUGACCUCAAAUCAGGUAGGACUACCCGCUGAACUUAAGCAUAUCAUA
rnacentral:rRNA from 1 species